GUGAGGAAUCUUCCACAAUGGGCGAAAGCCUGAUGGAGCAACGCCGCGUGAAGGAUGAAGGUCUUCGGAUUGUAAACUUCUUUUAUGAGUGAAGAAUAUGACGGUAACUCAUGAAUAAGCACCGGCUAACUACGUGCCAGCAGCCGCGGUCAUACGUAGGGUGCAAGCAUUAUCCGGAGUGACUGGGCGUAAAGAGUUGCGUAGGCGGUUAUGUAAGCGAAUAGUGAAACCUGGUGGCUCAACCACACAGACUAUUAUUCGAACUGCAUAACUCGAGAAUGGUAGAGGUAACUGGAAUUUCUUGUGUAGGAGUGAAAUCCGUAGAUAUAAGAAGGAACACCAAUGGCGUAGGCAGGUUGCUGGGCCAUUUCUGACGCUAAGGCACGAAAGCGUGGGGAGCGAACCGGAUUAGAUACCCUAGUAGUCC
rnacentral:rRNA from 1 species